rnacentral:rRNA from 1 species
AUUGAACGCUGGCGGCAGGCCUAACACAUGCAAGUCGAACGAGUGGCGGACGGGUGAGUAAUGUCUGGGAAACUGCCCGAUGGAGGGGGAUAACUACUGGAAACAGUAGCUAAUACCGCAUACCAUCGGAUGUGCCCAGAUGGGAUUAGCUAGUAGGUGGGGUAACGGCUCACCUAGGCGACGAUCCCUAGCUGGUUGGAGAGGAUGACCGGCCAACCUGGAACUGAGAAACGGUCCGGACUCCUCCGGGAGGCAGCAGUGGGGAAUUUUGCACAAUGGGCGAAAGCCUGAUGCAGCCAUCCGGCGUGUAGGAAGAAGGCCUUCGGUUGGUAAAGUACUUUCGGCGGGGAAGCGUUACCCGCAGAAGAAGCACCGGCUAACUCCGGGCCAGCAGCCGCGGUAAUUC